CCGCUGCGUAUUGCGCUCUGUGACCUCCUGUGAGACAUUUACCUUAUGAUGAAUUUCCACAUGCAGAAUUCUUCUGAAAAUGUAAAACCUACUUCCAAUGUACUUGAAAACAUGGAGAGCAAAAUCCCACGCCUGCAUGGGGACAAGUUUGAAUGUCAUGGAUGUUGCUGAAGCUGGGUUACUAUGAAGUACCCUAAUCCUUUAUGGCAUGAGGGAGGAAAGACCUACUUUGACCUUGAAUGUAUGUACACUUUCCAACCUGACCUGCUAAAGGUAUU